rnacentral:rRNA from 1 species
UACGUAGGGGGCGAGCGUUGUCCGGAUUUAUUGGGCGUAAAGAGCUCGUAGGCGGCGCGGUAAGUCGGGUGUGAAAUCUCGGAGCUUAACUCCGAAACUGCAUUCGAUACUGCCGUGCUUGAGGACUGGAGAGGAGACUGGAAUUUACGGUGUAGCGGUGAAAUGCGUAGAUAUCGUAAGGAAGACCAGUGGCGAAGGCGGGUCUCUGGACAGUUCCUGACGCUGAGGCACGAAGGCCAGGGGAGCAAACGGG